GGAAUAUUGGACAAUGGGCGCAAGCCUGAUCCAGCAAUGCCGCGUGAGUGAUGAAGGCCUUAGGGUUGUAAAGCUCUUUCGCACGCGACGAUGAUGACGGUAUCGUGAGAAGAAGCCCCGGCUAACUUCGUGCCAGCAGCCGCGGUAAUACGAAGGGGGCUAGCGUUGUUCGGAAUUACUGGGCGUAAAGGGCGCGUAGGCGGCCUGUUAAGUUAGGAGUGAAAGCCCCGGGCUCAACCUGGGAAUUGCUCUUGAUACUGGCAGGCUGAAGUUCCGGAGAGGAUGGUGGAAGUCCCAGUGUAGAGGUGAAAUUCGUAGAUAUUGGGAAGAACACCGGUGGCGAAGGCGGCCAUCUGGACGGACACGGACGCUGAGGCGCGAAAGCGUGGGGA
rnacentral:rRNA from 1 species